rnacentral:rRNA from 1 species
GAGUUUGAUCAUGGCUCAGGAUGAACGCUAGCGGCAGGCCUAACACAUGCAAGUCGAGGGGCAGCAUAAGGAAAGUUUACUUUCCUGGUGGCGACCGGCGCACGGGUGCGUAACGCGUAUGCAACCUACCCUGUACUGGGGGAUAGCCCGGAGAAAUUCGGAUUAAUACCCCAUAGUAUUGUUUAAUAGCAUUAUUAGAUAAUUAAAGGUUACGGUACAGGAUGGGCAUGCGUCCUAUUAGCUAGAUGGUGAGGUAACGGCUCACCAUGGCGACGAUAGGUAGGGGGCCUGAGAGGGUGGUCCCCCACACUGGUACUGAGACACGGACCAGACUCCUACGGGAGGCAGCAGUGAGGAAUAUUGGUCAAUGGGCGCAAGCCUGAACCAGCCAUGCCGCGUGAAGGAUGAAGGUUCUAUGGAUUGUAAACUUCUUUUAUUAGGGAAUAAACCCUCUUACGUGUAGGAGGCUGAAGGUACCUAAUGAAUAAGCACCGGCUAACUCCGUGCCAGCCGCCGC